AUUGAACGCUGGCGGCAGGCUUAACACAUGCAAGUCGAGCGGAGAUGAGGUGCUUGCACCUUAUCUUAGCGGCGGACGGGUGAGUAAUGCUUAGGAAUCUGCCUAUUAGUGGGGGACAACAUUCCGAAAGGGAUGCUAAUACCGCAUACGCCCUAAGGGGGAAAGCAGGGGAUCUUCGGACCUUGCGCUAAUAGAUGAGCCUAAGUCGGAUUAGCUAGUUGGUGGGGUAAAGGCCUACCAAGGCGACGAUCUGUAGCGGGUCUGAGAGGAUGAUCCGCCACACUGGGACUGAGACACGGCCCAGACUCCUACGGGAGGCAGCAGUGGGGAAUAUUGAACAAUGGGGGGAACCCUGAUCCAGCCAUGCCGCGUGUGUGAAGAAGGCCUUUUGGUUGUAAAGCACUUUAAGCGAGGAGGAGGCUACCGAGAUUAAUACUCUUGGAUAGUGGACGUUACUCGCAGAAUAAGCACCGACUAACUCUGUGCCAGCCGCCGCCGUAACAC
rnacentral:rRNA from 1 species